UACGAAGGGUGCAAACGUUGCUCGGAAUCAUUGGGCGUAAAGCGCACGUAGGCGGCUAUCUAAGUCGGAUGUGAAAUCCCUCGGCUUAACCAAGGAAGUGCAUCCGAAACUGGAUAGCUUGAGUACUGAAGAGGAUCGCGGAAUUCCCGGUGUAGAGGUGAAAUUCGUAGAUAUCGGGAGGAACACCGGUGGCGAAGGCGGCAUCCUGGACCGGCAUUGACGCUGAAUAGCGAAAGCCAGGGGAGCAAACGGG
rnacentral:rRNA from 1 species